CCUACGGGUGGCAGCAGUGAGGAAUAUUGGUCAAUGGGCGGAAGCCUGAACCAGCCAAGCAGCGUGCAGGAUGACGGCCCUACGGGUUGUAAACUGCUUUUAUACGGGAAUAACGCGCCUUACGUGUAGGGCUUUGCAUGUACCGUAUGAAUAAGGACCGGCUAAUUCCGUGCCAGCAGCCGCGGUAAUACGGAAGGUACGGGCGUUAUCCGGAUUUAUUGGGGUUAAAGGGAGUGUAGGGCGAAGGCCAAGCGUGCCGUGAAAUGUCCGGGCUCAACCCGGGCCUUGCAGCGCGAACUGGCGUGCUUGAGUCCGCGGAGGGCAGGCGGAAUUCGUGGUGUAGCGGUGAAAUGCUUAGAUAUGACGAAGAACCCCGAUUGCGAAGGCAGCUUGCUGCAGCGGAACUGACGCUGAGGCUCGAAAGCGCGGGUAUCGAACAGGAUUAGAUACCCGAGUAGUC
rnacentral:rRNA from 1 species